rnacentral:rRNA from 1 species
UACGAAGGGGGCUAGCGUUGUUCGGAUUUACUGGGCGUAAAGCGCACGUAGGCGGUUUGUUAAGUCAGAGGUGAAAUCCCGGAGCUCAACUCCGGAACUGCCUUUGAUACUGGCAAGCUAGAGUCCGGAAGAGGUGAGUGGAACUCCUAGUGUAGAGGUGGAAUUCGUAGAUAUUAGGAAGAACACCAGUGGCGAAGGCGGCUCACUGGUCCGGUACUGACGCCGAGGUGCGAAAGCGUGGGGAGCAAACAGG